UGAGUAUGUCUGAGUGGGGGAGGGGGGGAACCUCGGCCCCUAGAGGAGUUGAUCUGCACCAUAAAAUGACUGCAGAUUUGGGACGUGAUUGGCAGCUUGCUCAGGAGAAAUUCAGGACUGCGAGAGCCAGGGCUGCAGAAGAAAACAGACCUGCAAGGCCCCCCAAAACUGUGACUGCUUGCAGAGGGGUGACAUUACUGGGGACAAUAUGGAAGCCCAGGACAAAGGGGGGCAUUGUCAGAAUUCAAGAGUUCUGGUAAAGAACCUGGCGGGCCUGUUUAAAGGAGGCCACAGAACAGCAGGGCACGUUGGAAUCCAUGUGACGGGGUGGCUGAGACCUGAACCCCACUUUCUAAACACCUGCCUGCAGGUAUUCUCGGACGUGGGCUUUGGCUUGUGCCUUUGAUCCGGCGAUGUAAGAAAUAAAAGACUAAAAUGUAA